UACGUAGGGUGCAAGCGUUAAUCGGAAUUACUGGGCGUAAAGCGUGCGCAGGCGGUUGUGCAAGACAGAUGUGAAAUCCCCGGGCUUAACCUGGGAAUGGCAUUUGUGACUGCACGGCUAGAGUGUGUCAGAGGGGGGUAGAAUUCCACGUGUAGCAGUGAAAUGCGUAGAUAUGUGGAGGAAUACCGAUGGCGAAGGCAGCCCCCUGGGAUAACACUGACGCUCAUGCACGAAAGCGUGGGGAGCAAACGGG
rnacentral:rRNA from 1 species